ACGAAAGUCUGACGGAGCGACGCCGCGUGGGUGAAGAAUGCCGGAAUGUUGUAAAGCCCUUUUCUCGUUGAGGAAUAAGCACAGGAGGGAAUGCCUGUGCGAUGACGGUAGGCGAGGAAUAAGUCCCGGCCAAUUACGUGCCAGCAGCCGCGGUAACACGUAUGGGACGAGCGUUGUUCGGAAUCAUUGGGCGUAAAGGGCGCGUAGGCGGCGAGGUAAGCCUGGUGUGAAAGACCGCAGCUUAACUGCGGAACCGCGCUAGGAACUGCUUUGCUUGAGUUCAGGAGGGGGAGCUGGAAUUCCAGGUGUAGGGGUGAAAUCUGUAGAUAUCUGGAAGAACACCGGCGGCGAAGGCGAGCUCCUGGCCAUGAACUGACGCUGAGGCGCGAAAGCGCGGGGAGCGAACAGGAUUAGAUACCCUGGUAGUCCACGCUGUAAACGAUGCGCACUAGGUGUUGGGCCACGAAGGUUCAGUGCCGGAGUCAACGCGUUAAGUGCACCGCCUGGGGAGUAUGCUCGCAAGGGUGAAACUCAAAGGAAUUGACGGGGGCCCGCACAAGCGGUGGAGCAUGUGGUUUAAUUCAAUGAUACGCGAGGAACCUUACCAGGGUUUGACAUAUGCCGGAAUGUGCAGGAGACUGCGCAGCCCUUCGGGGCCGGUAUACAGGUGCUGCAUGGCCGUCGUCAGCUCGUGCCGUGAGGUGUUGGGUUAAGUCCCGCAACGAGCGCAACCCCUACCGUCUGUUGCCAGCAUUCAGUUGGGGACUCAGGCGGAACUGCCGGUGACAAACCGGAGGAAGGUGGGGACGACGUCAGGUCAUCAUGGCCCUUAUAUCCUGGGCUACACACGUGCUACAAUGGCCGGUACAGAGCGAAGCAACACCGCGAGGUAGAGCAAAUCGCAGAAAGCCGGUCUCAGUUCGGAUUGGAGUCUGAAACCCGACUCCAUGAAGUUGGAAUCGCUAGUAAUCGCGCAUCAGCAUGGCGCGGUGAAUACGUUCCCGGGCCUUGUACACACCGCCCGUCACACCACCCGAGUUGGGGGUACCCGAAGUCGUUUGCCUAACCUGCAAAGGAGGGCGGCGCCGAAGGUAUGCCUGUAAGGGGGGUGAA
rnacentral:rRNA from 1 species